GUUAGGAAUAUUGGACAAUGGGCGCAAGCCUGAUCCAGCCAUGCCGCGUGAGUGAUGAAGGCCUUCGGGUUGUAAAGCUCUUUAGUCCACGAAUAUAAUGACUGUAGUGGAAGAAUAAGCCCCGGCUAACUUCGUGCCAGCAGCCGCGGUAAUACGAAGGGGGCGAGCGUUAUACGGAAUCACUGGGCGUAAAGCGUGCGUAGGCUGUUUUGUAAGUAAGAAGUGAAAGCCCAGGGCUUAACCCAGGAAUUGCUUUUGAAACUACAAGACUCGAAUUCGGGAGAGGAUAGCGGAAUUGUCAGUGUAGCAGUGUAAUGCGUAGAUAUUGACAGGAACACCAGUGGCGCAAGCGGCUAUCUGGACCGAUAUUGACGCUGAGGCACGAAAGCGUGGGGAGCAAACAGGAUUAGAUACCCGUGUAGUCC
rnacentral:rRNA from 1 species